AUUGAACGCUGGCGGAAUGCUUUACACAUGCAAGUCGAACGGCAGCACGGACUUCGGUCUGGUGGCGAGUGGCGAACGGGUGAGUAAUGUAUCGGAACGUGCCAAGUGGUGGGGGAUAACGUAGUGAAAAUUACGCUAAUACCGCAUACGAUCUAUGGAUGAAAGCGGGGGAUCGCAAGAACUCGCGCGAUGGGAGCGGCCGAUAUCAGAUUAGGUAGUUGGUGGGGUAAAGGCCCACCAAGCCAGCGAUCUGUAGCUGGUCUGAGAGGACGACCAGCCACACUGGAACUGAGACACGGUCCAGACUCCUACGGGAGGCAGCAGUGGGGAAUUUUGGACAAUGGGCGAAAGCCUGAUCCAGCCAAUCCGCGUGCAGGAUGAAGGCCCUCGGGUUGUAAACUGCUUUUGUACAGAACGAAAAGGUUUCUACUAAUACUAGGAGCUCAUGACGGUACUGUAAGAAUAAGCACCGGCUAACUACGUGCCAGCAGCCGCAGUAA
rnacentral:rRNA from 1 species